rnacentral:rRNA from 1 species
UACGAAGGGGCUAGCGUUGCUCGGAAUCACUGGGCGUAAAGGGUGCGUAGGCGGGUCUUUUAAGUCAGGGGUGAAAUCCUGGAAGCUCGAACUCCCAGAACUGCCUUUGAUACUGAAGAUCUUGAGUUCGGGAGAGGUGGAGUGGAAACUGGCGAGUGUAGAGGUGAAAAUUCGUAGAUAUUCGCAAGAACACCAGUGGCGAAGGCGGCUCACUGGCCCGAUACUGACGCUGAGGCACGGAA